rnacentral:lncRNA from 1 species
CAGUGCGACAGCCUCAGAGCCCGUGGAGAGGCAGAGCGCAGGCAGCUGGGUUUCUGAUGGCGCCAGUGUCAAGGUCUUCCAGUGACUCCAGGUCUUCCAGCAAUUCCAAGUCUUCCAACAACAUCAAGGUCUUCCAGCUAACCCAGUCUUCCAGAAAUCUAUGUCUUCCGGACAAUCCAUGUCUUCCAGGAAAUCCAGUCUUCCAGCAAUUAUAUGUCUUCCACAAAAUCCAUAGCUUCCAGGAAAAUCCACGUCUUCCAGAAAAUCCAUGUCUUCCAACAAUUUCAAGGUCUUCCAGCCAAUCCACGUCUUCCAGAAAAAUCUAUGUCUUCCGCCAAAUCUAAGUCUUCCAGCUAAUUUACGUCUUCCAGAAAAAUCCAAGUCUUCCAGCCAAUCUCUGUCUUCCAGAAAGAAAUCCAGGUCUUCCACUCAGUCCAUGUCUUCCGGAGAAAUCUGUGUCUUCCAGAAAAAUCCAGGUCUUCCAACCAACCCACGUCUUCCAUCAAAUCCAGUCUUCCAGUGCAUUUAUGUCUUCCAGACAAAAAUCUAUGUCUUCCACUGAAUCCAGGUCUUCCGGUAAAUCUACGUCUUCCAGAAAAUUCAUGUCUUCCACUAAAUUCAGGUCUUCCAGCAAAUUUAUGUCUUCCUAGAGAUUGUCUUCCAGAAAAAUUCAUGUCUUCCAGCAAAUCUGUGUCUUCCAAAUAAUCCAGGUCUUCCGGACAAUUCGGGUCUUCCUGAAAAUCCAUGUCUUCCAGAAAAGCCAUGUCUUCCAGGAAAUCCAUGUCUUCCAAUGACCUCCAAGUCUUCCAGAAAAUCCAUGUCUUCCAUCAAAUUCACGUCUUCCAUCAAACCCACGUCUUCCAGAAAAUCCACGUCUUCCAUCAAAUCCAUGUCUUCCAGAAAAUCCACGUCUUCCAAGAAAUACGUCUUCCAUCAAAUUCAUGUCUUCCAGCCUACCCAUGUCUUCCAGAAGAUCCAAGUCUUCCAACAAAGUCACGUCUUCCAAAAAAUCCAUGUCUUCCAACAAAGGUGCAUCUUCCAGAAAAUCCAUGUCUUCCAACAAACCUGUGUCUUCCAGAAAAUCCAUGUCUUCCCACAAAACCAUGUCUUCCAGAAAAUCCACGUCUUCCAAGAAGGGUGCGUCUUCCGGAAAAUCCACGUCUUCCAACAAAGGGUGCGUCUUCCGGAAAAUCCACGUCUUCCAACAAGGUGCGUCUUCCAACAAAGGGUGCGUCUUCCAGAAAAUCCAUGUCUUCCAACAGUGCCAUGUCUUCCAGAAAAUCCAUGUCUUCCUACACCUCCAGGUCUUCCAGCAUCUCCAGGGCUUCCAGCAUCUGCUCGUCUUCCAGCAUCUCCUCGUCUUCCAGCAUCUCCUCGUCUUCCAGCAUCUCCACGUCUUCCAGCAUCUUCAUGUCUUCCAACAACAACUCAGUCUUCCAAAAGUAGGCUCAAUAUCCACGUCUUCCAAUGUCUCCAGUGUACUGGUCUUCUAACAUUCAGGUCUUCUGGUGUCUACGAUAUCCAGGUAUUUUAAAAUGUUCCGUAAUCCAGGUCUUCUGACCUUUCCCCAGGUCCAGACUUUUCCAAAUUAGUCUUCCCAAGGCUGAGCCUUUCCAUGUUCAGAUUAUUCCAUAGACAAGUCUUCCAGUUCAAAUAUUCCUGCUUCUAGUAGAAUUAGCUUCAAAAAUUUUUGAAUAGGGCAUCCCUUCUUUAUAGACUAGAUCUUAUGGAUCAACUGUACUGAAGCUUAAUAGUGUUUUUUGCUACUAGGAAAUGUAUAUUCACUCUUUACAACUUUAAAAAAUAGUGUUCAUAAUACAGCUUCUGUGGAAUAAAUGCACAGAUGGUAUUACUGUGAUGAAUUUUGCUAAUUUACUAAUGCUCAUAUUUUUAUACAGUCAACUCUGUUUAGGUACAAGUGAAAUUUUUAUUUUAAUGAUAAAAACUCCUAUUUAGAGACUAUUAUUUUAGACAAAGCUAACAUAGAGUGUAUUUGUCCAGUGUUUAUAACAUCAUUUUUUGUUGUUUGGUCUUAUGAGACAAUAAUAAUAACAACAACAACGAUAACAUUAACAUAGCAUUUGCUACGUCCAGGCACUGCUCUAAGGUCCUUACAUGCGUCAACUUAUCCUUACAUGCAUCAGCUUAUUUAAUCUUCACAAGAACCCAUUGAGGUAGGUACUAUCAUCCCUGUUUUACAGAUGAGGAAACUGGCACACACAGAGGUGAAAUAACUUGUCCAAAGUACACAACCAAUAAAAUUCAGCACUAGGAUAUGAACCCAACUAGCUUGUUUCCAGAGUCCAUGACCCAGCCAUAAUAUCUGCUGUUGAAAAUCAAGAUGAGAAUUACAGGAUCUGAAGUUUGAUUGCUCCUGUUUUAUGUAUAAACUAUUAUAAUAUCUUAUAUAUAAAUCAUAUAUAUAUAUAUAUCCUGUGACUUAUCAGAACCUAUUUGUGCUCGCAGAUCUCAUUCCUCAUCUAUCUACUAUCAUUUCCUUGCUUGUGUAUAUGAAACUAGGCACAAACACUUCCUGAUAUAAUUCUCAGUUUAGGCAGAAAUAAUAUAAGGGAGCACUGAAUGCAAGUACCCUUUGCUUUAGAAUCAUAUUCAUGGCUCCUUGCUUUGAGUACAGAUGCUUAGAAUUUAAAUCUCCCACCUACUUUAAUCCCUUAUCACUGACCAUUAUCCAGUUUGUACCUUAGUAUCUAGACUACCUGCAGUUAGUUUGUUUCUGACCUCAGGAUCCACCUGCUUCUUUAAAUAUCACUGGCCUGCUGGAUUCCUGACCACUGCCUUGUGUCUGCGUAACUCCCAGUAUCCUGACCUAGAGAACUACUUUGAUUCUCCAAGUCUCAGCUUCUACCAGGUGCUUCCGGAAACAUUGCUACCUGUGCCUCUGGCUGACAUGACAAGCAUAAAUGCUACAUAAUGAAAUUAUGCUUAGGCAAGGGAUCUCUAAAGAUCUAGAAUCAACUAUACUGUAAAACAAAUUUAACAAUAAUAAUAAUUGUAAUACCUUCCCAAUGUCUAAUGAUUUAGUUUCUGAAGUGCUAUCAUUCAUUCAUUCACUCAACAGAUAUUUAUUGAGCAUCAGCGGUGUGCCAGCCAUAUAUUAAUGGAGCUUAAAAUCACUUGGGAGGAAACAGACAAUGUACAGAUAACUGAACAGUUAUUUAUUAGUUGUUGUAAGGCCAUGAAGGAAAAGUAAGUUACGGAUGUUCUUGAGUCUGCAAAGUUAAGGAAAGCAUUCCUGAGUGAGUAACACUGAUAGUGACUGAAGGAUCUAUUUUCUCAAUUGAUUAUCAAAAUAGCCUUGUGACUAAGAUAAGACAUAUGUUUUAAUAUCAGUUUCACGUAAUUAGGUUAAACAAGUACUAAAAGCUUGGGCAUGGGGUCCACAUAUUUUGACUUUUUUUUUUCUACUACUUCAUGCUGCCUUAAAAUAUAUAGUAAGUAAGGUUUUGGCAAUAUAUGUCAAGGGGUAUGAAAAUGUUGGUACUCUUUGAUUUGGUAUUUUCACUUCAAUGAAUCUAUUCAAGGAAAUUAUCUAAAAUAGGGAUAAUUCUGCACAAAGAUAUUCCUCACACAGUUAUUGGGUAUAGCAAAAAACAGAAAAACCUAAGUAUCUAAAUUUAAGGGGAUGAUUAAGUAAAUGUGCUAUUUCCAUGUGAAAUAUUAAAAUAUUUAUGGUAUGUUCAUAUUAUAUAAUGUUAAGUGAGAAAUCAGCAUAUAAGAUUAUAUAAAGUAUGAUUGCAGGUAUUUUAAAUAUAUAUAAUCAGAGACAAAUUAUCAGAAAUAAACCCAUUGGAGAUUGUGAAGUAAUUUAUCUCUAGGUGGGUAGGAUGAUGUGUGAUUUUUGUUUACAUCUUUAUGUUCUUAUUUUCUUCCAGAGUUCUUACAGUGUGAAAGUAUUUUAUAUUCAGGAAAAAUAUUUAAAUGAUCAUGCGCAAAAAUUCGUUAUUUUUUCAUCUUUUUUAUUAUACAUGUAAUCAAGUUUUACUGUUGAAACACUUCAAAACAUAAGUAAGCAAAGUGAAAAAAUUAAAAUCUCAAACUCAAUACUCAGGUAAUUGCUUUAAAGUUUUAGGUGUAUGCUCUUCCAUACUUUUUCAUAGGUAUGUUUAUUUUCUUUUACAAAAUGGAAUCAUACUACCUUUUUAACCUAUUUUUUCCACUUAACAGUAAAUUGUAAACUCUCUUUAUGUCAGUAACCAUGCAUCUGUAUUAUAAUUUUC